GUCUGGGAUGCUGCACUUUCUCCGUUUUCCAGGCCGAAUGAAAGGGACAGGACGCCGCAACAUAUUAGUGACGAGAAAAAAAACUCAGGAAGGAAAAGAGAAGGCCACAAAGAUGAGGAGAAAAGCUUGAGGUUACGAGAACGUGUUAAUAGUUGCACCUCAGCGGUUUCAUCCGUCGUCGAUGGGCCUGGAGCAAAGUGAGUCACCGGGACUGACUGACGCCUCGCUCUCCGAUGGGUGAAAGACGAAGCAUCAGGCGAUAUGUCCGAUAUAUGAUCCGUAUUAUUCACCAUAUGUUAC
rnacentral:lncRNA from 1 species